CCUACGGGUGGCAGCAGUGAGGAAUAUUGGUCAAUGGGCGCUAGCCUGAACCAGCCAAGUAGCGUGAAGGAUGACUGCCCUAUGGGUUGUAAACUUCUUUUAUAUGGGAAUAAAGUGCAGUAUGUAUACUGCUUUGCAUGUACCUUAUGAAUAAGGAUCGGCUAACUCCGUGCCAGCAGCCGCGGUAAUACGGAGGGUUCGAGCGUUAUCCGGAUUUAUUGGGUUUAAAGGGAGGGUAGGCGGGUUGUUAAGUCAGUUGGGAAAGUUUGCGGCUCAACCGUAGAAUUGCAGUUGAAACUGGCGUCCUUGAGUGCAGGAGAGGUAGGCGGAAUUCGUGGUGUAGCGGUGAAAUGCUUAGAUAUCACGAAGAACUCCGAUUGCGAAGGCAGCCUGCUGGACUGUAACUGACGCUGAUGCUCGAAAGUGUGGGGAUCAAACAGGAUUAGAUACCCCAGUAGUC
rnacentral:rRNA from 1 species